GCGUUUGUAGCUCAGUGGAAGAGCAAGAAGGGGGCAUUAACCCCUAAAGGCCGUGAGUUCAAUUCUCACCAACCGCU
rnacentral:tRNA from 1 species